AGAAGUUUUCCUGGGAAGCAGACUUUUGAUUUUAUUCAGUAUGGUAAUGGCUUUGCAGUUCAGAGUCAUACCCAAAGGCAUAAUGGAGAGAAGCCCUAUGAAGAGAUUGCAAGCGUGUUGUCAAGCUGCUGCUGUACUCUCUCCAGUUUGAUUUUGGAGGAACUAAGAACUUUGAGUUCUCCUCUUUACUCUGCUUUCAUUGUGUCCCAUAAGUUUAGGGGUCCCUGUAGAGGGCCGCAAUACGUUCGCCACCACUAGAUGGCGCUGUCUUCCACUGCGCCCCACGUGGUAGGUCAGGAUAGACUCCGCCAUUACAAGAUGGCGCCAACCUUCGCUGCGCCAGCCGGCCCCCCCUUUUCAGGUAGUUAACUGUGCGCAUGUGCAAGAGUGCCUUCGUGCCAGGUCUUCGCCCACUCCGGGGCGUGCCUUAUGAGAUCAUGGGUAACAACCAAUCAGGUGUGGGUGCGCUGCACGAGGGUUUUUUAAGCGCCCCCAUGUUGGUGCGGCGUGGCUUUUCCUCUUCUAAGAUUAAUAAAGUGGUCACAGUAAGGAUUUCUAAUGUCCCCGUGCUCCUUGCUGGCGAAAAGUCGCGCGCGGGACAUUUGGUGCCGAGAAUCCGGGACACAGAAAGCUACAUCAUCGCCGGUGCCAAGAGGAAGCCUCCGUUUCACGGAAGAAAUCCAGAAGCUGUGGAAUGCAGGUAAAAAGAACUCUGAGAGACAAUGUUUAGCCCUGAUCUGCUCCAGCUCAGUCCCCUGCCGGACAUGGCAGGUGCCGCUAUGGUUGCUCUGGCAACCCUCGAGUUGUUUCUAUUGACCUUUGAGUUUCUAGCUACCGCCAAACGGCGUCAGAGGUCGCGUGGGAACUGCCCAGCUGUAACAGCAAAGCGGAGAGUGUUGGGGGAAGGGCAAAAAUCGUCAGAAACAGAGGAUAGUGAAAAGUUGCAAUGAACUGAUCGAUCUCAAGCACCAGGCCCCCCUGCGGUCUUACCACCGCCAGGGGUGAAAAAUUGGGGAAAGAAUGCCCCGGGUGAGAAGGGAGGAGGUAAAAGGAACAUAGUAUUUGGGGAGAAAAACUUUGUCUUAGUGCUUAUGAAAGGUGUAAUUAAGCUCCCGCGCCGGCUCUGGGGACGCCGCGGCGUCCGGGCGCUGACGCGACAGCUUUACAGAGUCAUACUGAUCAGAUUUGAUAGAGGCAGACUGCCUGAAAAUUUAUUCAGGAGAAUCAAACAAAAGGACAUCUCAGUGCCCGUACACAGCCUGAUAGAGUUAAUGUAAUUGGGUUGUGAGUAAAAAACUCAGGGCUGUGUUUCACUUCCAUACCAUUGGCGAAUGUCGGUCGUUCUGUUCAGAUAAUAUCUCUCAGUAUCUUACAGAAAUUGGGUUUCAACACGUUGGUGGACUAGUCCAGGAAUUGAGACAAUCCAUCGCCCAUAUCAACUCCACUCGAGUGGAUAGUCGCCGUGAACACCAUCUGGCUUUUUCCCCUCUUUGUCUAUUGUUUGUCUCUGGUGCACCAGGAUGUCCCCAUGUCUGUCAGUGUAUGUCUGUGGUUUUUGUUUCUCGUUGUCUAAAAGUUUUAUGUUUCAUGUUCAAAAGAAAAAAUGGUAAAAACUUUAUCUGCCGGUCGUGCACACCUUGACUUGGUUUUAACUCGUUUCAAAAAGGAACAAAUGAAUAAAAAAGUUUCAAUCAGGUUUUUAAAGCCCUGUGCCUGGAGCCAG
ensembl:lncRNA